rnacentral:tRNA from 1 species
GGCUCAGUAGCUUAGUUGGCAAAGCGCUCGUCUAGCAUACAAGAGUCCAGGGUUCGAAUCCCAGCCGAGCAC